rnacentral:tRNA from 1 species
UAUAUAGUGCCUGAUUUAAAAGGGUAGUUUUGAUAGAACUAAACAUGCAAGUAUUUGCCUAUAUAA